AUACGGAGGGUCCAAGCGUUAUCCGGAUUCAUUGGGUUUAAAGGGUCCGCAGGCGGGAAAAUAAGUCAGUGAUGAAAGCCUACAGCUCAACUGUAGAACUGCCAUUGAUACUGUUUUUCUUGAGUAUAGAUGAAGUGGGCGGAAUAUAUCAUGUAGCGGUGAAAUGCAUAGAUAUGAUAUAGAACACCGAUUGCGAAGACAGCUCACUAAACUAUUACUGACGCUCAGGGACGAAAGCGUGGGUAGCAAACAGGAUUAGAAACCCUAGUAGUCC
rnacentral:rRNA from 1 species